AAGUCGUAACAAGGUUUCCGUAGGUGAACCUGCGGAAGGAUCAUUAUUGAAUUCCAACUGGGCGAGAUUGCUGCUGGCUCUCGGGCAUGGUGCACAUCUCAUUCAUUUACCUCUCAUCCUCUGUGCACUUUUUCACAGGACAGCUGGUGGUUGUAGGCUUCAUUGUCUAUGGCUACAGGUUGCUUUGUGUGCUUUAUAAACUCAUAAUCAAGUUCAGAAUGUCUAUUGUGUAUCCACACAUUUUAAAUACAA
rnacentral:misc_RNA from 1 species